AUGAUUCCUUUAGUAACUGCGAGUGAAGAGGGAAAAGCUCAAAUUUUAAAUCUGUUAGGUUUACCUGACCGAGUUGUAAUUUGAAGAAGCGUUUUCUGCGAUUUUGGUUAGUCCAAAUCCUUUGGAACAGGGUAUCAUGGAGGGUGAGAAUCCCGUUUGAUUAACCAAAGCGCUUUACGAUACGCUUUCAAAGAGUCAAGUUGUUUGGGAUUGCAGCUUAAAAUGGGAGGUAAAUUUCUCCUAAGGCUAAAUAUUGGCGAGAGACCGAUAGCGAACAAGUACCGUGAGGGAAAGAUGGAAAGAACUUUGAAAAGAGAGUUAAACAGUACGUGAAAUUGUUGAAAGGGAAACGAUUAAAGUCAGUCGUACCUACGAGUAAUCAACCUACACGAGCGCGAUUUUGUGGGUAUGAAGAGGUAAAACCUUCAUGGUUGCAAAUUGGUGUUCUUUGGGCGUACUUUCUCGUAUGGUAGGUUAACAUCAAUUUCGAUCGUUACAAAAUGACGGGAGGAAUGUAGCUUCGACUUCGGUUGAAGUGUUAUAGCCUCUGGUAGAUGUAAUGAUUGGGAUUGAGGAUUGCAACGGAUACCCUCUGGGCUAUUCGUCUGAUCUCUGGAAGUUACCUUGGUGUCGAAAGCAUGCUUAUGACAUUAAGAAUGACGGCCAAAAGGUUAGAACGGAAUUAAAUUCGUUAAGGAUGUUGACGUAAUGGCUUUAAACGACCCGUCUUGAAACACGGACCAAGGAGUCUAACAUAUGUGCGAGUGUU
rnacentral:rRNA from 1 species